rnacentral:rRNA from 1 species
AGAUGGCGACCGGCGCACGGGUGAGUAACACGUAUCCAACCUGCCGAUAACUCGGGGAUAGCCUUUCGAAAGAAAGAUUAAUACCCGAUGGCAUAAUUGGACCGCAUGGUCUUAUUAUUAAAGAAUUUCGGUUAUCGAUGGGGAUGCGUUCCAUUAGGCAGUUGGUGAGGUAACGGCUCACCAAACCUUCGAUGGAUAGGGGUUCUGAGAGGAAGGUCCCCCACAUUGGAACUGAGACACGGUCCAA